rnacentral:rRNA from 1 species
AGGACGAACGCUGGCGGCGCGCCUAAUACAUGCAAGUCGAGCGAGAACCAGGGCUUCGGCCCUGGGGAGAGCGGCGAACGGGUGCGUAUCACGUGAGCAACCUGCCUCGGAGACCGGAAUAACUCGAGGAAACUCGGGCUAAUGCCGGAUGCCCUCGGUGGACCGCAUGGUCCGGCGAGGAAAUGGAUUCCGCUCCGAGAUGGGCUCGCGGCCUAUCAGCUUGUUGGUGGGGUAACGGCCUACCAAGGCAACGACGGGUAGCUGGUCUGAGAGGACGAUCAGCCACACUGGGACUGAGACACGGCCCAGACUCCUACGGGAGGCAGCAGUAGGGAAUCUUGCGCAAUGGGCGAAAGCCUGACGCAGCGACGCCGCGUGCGGGAUGAAGGCCUUCGGGUCGUAAACCGCUUUCAGCAGGGACGAAAUUGACGGUACCUGCAGAGAAGGCCGGCACUACGUGCCAGCAGCCGC